UAACUAGCAGCAUGAAACGAAUUCGACCACCGAGAUGCUCAGUGCUGGGCUGCACAAAUCCGCACAAAGCUCUUCAUGUGACUCCAGCUUCAGAAGACACAAGAUUGAGAUGGAUCGAGUUCAUAUAUGACGGCAACGUUCCUGCAAGAGUUGGCAAAUAUCUGUUAGUGUGCUCUAACCACUUUUCAUCGGACUGUUUUACCAACCUGGGCCAAUAUAACGCCGGAUACGCGAACAGGUUGUUCUUGAAAGAGGGGUCGUGCCAUCAUUCCGUCGCAACACUCAAGACGAAUACGAAGUAUUUUUUUUUAUAAUUCUGGUAUUUGCUUCUUUUAGACAUUUUGUGUGGAGGCUAGUGACGUUAGCACGUUGUGGCGUGUGUGUGAGGGGCUGGGGGCUAGUAUGUAGUGGUUGGGGACAGGGAUGAGACUUUACAGGAGUUUUCAUGUUGGACUAUUAAUAACGUUAUUGAACAACUCAUCGCGGACGGCUGGCGAGUCUUAGCGAGAAGACAGGGUCGGAGUCCACGGUGAACGGUGUUCGCACGGCAGGUUCGUGUGUGUUGUGCUCUCCACGCUGGUUGCCUCUCCUCCUUCGUCUCUUCCUGUGAGUACUGUGGCGCAGAUUUUUUUCCACGGCAGCACUGGGCUGGAAGUGAGCUCCUGCUACAGCUCCUGCUACAUGCGCCGUAGCUAACUCCCAGCCCCGCGCAGCUACGUUAGCUCCGGCACAUGUACCAACUCCUGCUACAUAUGCCGGGCUGGAGCUAACUUGCAGCUACGUUAGCAUGCGCCGUAGCCUCCUGCCUCCGUUACACUCAUCUGCUGAGGGAAGUCGCCCGGAAGAUGUUGUUGUCAUAAUGUGUGGGACUAGAACGAUUAAUCACUACCAGCCCUAGUUGGGGAAAAUGUGUCCUUGUAUCCUUGUGUAGCCCUGUAUAAAAAUCACUAGGAUACACUGCAUAAAAUUAAUCUCAAAAUAGCAUAACAAAUGUUGUAUUAAAAGAGAAAGUUCCUGAUAACUAGAUAAGUUCAUAUUAUUAAAAAUAGCAGUUAAAAUAGGGAUAAAUACGGGAUAAAAUGUAAUAAAUAUAAUAUGUACAGUUAAUAAGUUUAGAUAUUUACAGUUAAAAAGUAAAUCAAUAAAUAGAUGUGUGGUUAAAAGGCUCUGUGAUUGAGAAGACGAGAGACUUAUUGAUUUGAGUGCUUUUAAUGUGACAUCUAACUUUUCUCAGUGUUGUGUCAGUCAUUCAGUUUUUGUGUUCUCAUUGGGUAGUAGCAAAGUCACAGCCAAUCCAAGUCAUCCGUCUUGUAUGGGGCGGGACAUGAUAUGCAGGUGGUGGUUCAGCAUGCUUCGAGCAGGUGGGUCAGAGAGAGAGAUAGAGUCCAGAGUCCUGAGGAAAAGUGUUGUGCUGUGGGAAACAUUUAAGAGGUAUCGUCCAGGUCGACUACUCGUGGUCCUGAUAUUAACUCUUCUAUGUAACCUGCCAAAGGAGACGGACGUCUGUGAAGAGAGAGAGAGAGAGAAACUGAGAGUGCUGGUGGAUGGACCCUGCUGUUUUUCUUCUUCCCUGGAUUUUCAUUGCUGUGUGUGCUGCCUGUGUUUGGAUUGUGACUGCCAUCACCCCUAUCUGUGACAUUACCCUAUUGCUCCUCGUUUUGACCUGUGAGUAUUGAACUGAUUUGACAAUGCAUGUGCUUUUAUUUUAUGCUCUUGACUGAGUGAAGUGGCCAUAACAGUUUUCAGGCCUCACCGCACCCGAGCAUCACUACAGGCCUGCAACUGAGUCUACAGUUUAUCAUUUCUGGAGUAGGCCCACAUGUGAUGUUUGUGAGUUAAUUUAAAGUUGAUAGGAAUUGUUUUGUUUUGAUUCAGAGACCUGUGAAAGGUAAAGAUUUUAUUUAACCUUGUCCGUGAGUUAAAGGGUUUAUUGAGAGGUGUUGGAGUUUGUUCAUUAUCAGAGUCGUGGCACAUCAAUAAUUAGCAUAAACUGGUGAUUUCCUUAUUCUAAAACCCGGUUACACACCGCACUGCUUCAUAUACCAAACUCUGUCUCUGCUUUAUUCCACAGACACUGACUACCUCUUCACCAACUAAGUUCUCUACAAUAAACGAUAUCGCUUUCGCAAGUUAUGCUUGUAAGGAUACAAACAUCACAAGAGAUAACCUCUACAACCUCACAAUUGAGGCUCAUGAAACCUGCAUUCAACUUAUGGUGAAAAAUAUUCGCAACAUUAGAGCUGCAACACAAAAAGAUGCCUCAAAAACCCAGCAAAUCCUCCACUUGCAACGACAACUACAAGCUGCUCUCCAAACAAGUUGAAGUCCUGCAGUCUACUGUUGCAUUUGACAAUGACGACAUGAUGACCUCUCCUGUUCAGACAGAACCAAACCCCACCACUGAUGCCAAAACCACCACUGCCAUCAUUCACGUGACCAGCGUUGACAUCAUUCCAGACCCCAACACUGGCAUCAUGCAGGAGACCAACACUGCAGACAAAAAUGCUGACAUCAUGCAAGAAUAAUGCGCUUUCUAACUUGUAUAUAUUUAAUACCUAUUUGUACACUUGCAUGUUUAUACUCACAUAAUUCUUUCGUUUAUUUCUUCUUUUCUAUGCCUUUAAUAUAAUAAAUACCUCUUUCAAACCUA